rnacentral:rRNA from 4 species
AGAGUUUGAUCCUGGCUCAGGAUGAACGCCGGCGGUGUGCCUAAUACAUGCAAGUCGAACGCGUUGGCCCAAUUGAUUGAUGGUGCUUGCACCUGAUUGAUUUUGGUCGCCAACGAGUGGCGGACGGGUGAGUAACACGUAGGUAACCUGCCCAGAAGCGGGGGACAACAUUUGGAAACAGAUGCUAAUACCGCAUAACAGCGUUGUUCGCAUGAACAACGCUUAAAAGAUGGCUUCUCGCUAUCACUUCUGGAUGGACCUGCGGUGCAUUAGCUUGUUGGUGGGGUAACGGCCUACCAAGGCGAUGAUGCAUAGCCGAGUUGAGAGACUGAUCGGCCACAAUGGGACUGAGACACGGCCCAUACUCCUACGGGAGGCAGCAGUAGGGAAUCUUCCACAAUGGGCGCAAGCCUGAUGGAGCAACACCGCGUGAGUGAAGAAGGGUUUCGGCUCGUAAAGCUCUGUUGUUAAAGAAGAACACGUAUGAGAGUAACUGUUCAUACGUUGACGGUAUUUAACCAGAAAGUCACGGCUAACUACGUGCCAGCAGCCGCGGUAAUACGUAGGUGGCAAGCGUUAUCCGGAUUUAUUGGGCGUAAAGAGAGUGCAGGCGGUUUUCUAAGUCUGAUGUGAAAGCCUUCGGCUUAACCGGAGAAGUGCAUCGGAAACUGGAUAACUUGAGUGCAGAAGAGGGUAGUGGAACUCCAUGUGUAGCGGUGGAAUGCGUAGAUAUAUGGAAGAACACCAGUGGCGAAGGCGGCUACCUGGUCUGCAACUGACGCUGAGACUCGAAAGCAUGGGUAGCGAACAGGAUUAGAUACCCUGGUAGUCCAUGCCGUAAACGAUGAGUGCUAGGUGUUGGAGGGUUUCCGCCCUUCAGUGCCGGAGCUAACGCAUUAAGCACUCCGCCUGGGGAGUACGACCGCAAGGUUGAAACUCAAAGGAAUUGACGGGGGCCCGCACAAGCGGUGGAGCAUGUGGUUUAAUUCGAAGCUACGCGAAGAACCUUACCAGGUCUUGACAUCUUGCGCCAACCCUAGAGAUAGGGCGUUUCCUUCGGGAACGCAAUGACAGGUGGUGCAUGGUCGUCGUCAGCUCGUGUCGUGAGAUGUUGGGUUAAGUCCCGCAACGAGCGCAACCCUUGUUACUAGUUGCCAGCAUUAAGUUGGGCACUCUAGUGAGACUGCCGGUGACAAACCGGAGGAAGGUGGGGACGACGUCAGAUCAUCAUGCCCCUUAUGACCUGGGCUACACACGUGCUACAAUGGACGGUACAACGAGUCGCGAACUCGCGAGGGCAAGCAAAUCUCUUAAAACCGUUCUCAGUUCGGACUGCAGGCUGCAACUCGCCUGCACGAAGUCGGAAUCGCUAGUAAUCGCGGAUCAGCAUGCCGCGGUGAAUACGUUCCCGGGCCUUGUACACACCGCCCGUCACACCAUGAGAGUUUGUAACACCCAAAGUCGGUGGGGUAACCUUUUAGGAGCCAGCCGCCUAAGGUGGGACAGAUGAUUAGGGUGAAGUCGUAACAAGGUAGCCGUAGGAGAACCUGCGGCUGGAUCACCUCCUU